GCUGACAUAAGUAACGAUAAAGCGGGUGAAAAGCCCGCUCGCCGGAAGACCAAGGGUUCCUGUCCAACGUUAAUCGGGGCAGGGUGAGUCGACCCCUAAGGCGAGGCCGAAAGGCGUAGUCGAUGGGAAACAGGUUAAUAUUCCUGUACUUGGUGUUACUGCGAAGGGGGGACGGAGAAGGCUAUGUUGGCCGGGCGACGGUUGUCCCGGUUUAAGCGUGUAGGCUGAUUUUCCAGGUAAAUCCGGAAAAUCAAGGCUGAGGCGUGAUGACGAGGCACUACGGUGCUGAAGCAACAAAUGCCCUGCUUCCAGGAAAAGCCUCUAAGCAUCAGGUAACAUCAAAUCGUACCCCAAACCGACACAGGUGGUCAGGUAGAGAAUACCAAGGCGCUUGAGAGAACUCGGGUGAAGGAACUAGGCAAAAUGGUGCCGUAACUUCGGGAGAAGGCACGCUGAUACGUAGGUGAAGUCCCUUGCGGAUGGAGCUGAAAUCAGUCGAAGAUACCAGCUGGCUGCAACUGUUUAUUAAAAACACAGCACUGUGCAAACACGAAAGUGGACGUAUACGGUGUGACGCCUGCCCGGUGCCGGAAGGUUAAUUGAUGGGGUUAGCGGUAACGCGAAGCUCUUGAUCGAAGCCCCGGUAAACGGCGGCCGUAACUAUAACGGUCCUAAGGUAGCGAAAUUCCUUGUCGGGUAAGUUCCGACCUGCACGAAUGGCGUAAUGAUGGCCAGGCUGUCUCCACCCGAGACUCAGUGAAAUUGAACUCGCUGUGAAGAUGCAGUGUACCCGCGGCAAGACGGAAAGACCCCGUGAACCUUUACUAUAGCUUGACACUGAACAUUGAGCCUUGAUGUGUAGGAUAGGUGGGAGGCUUUGAAGUGUGGACGCCAGUCUGCAUGGAGCCGACCUUGAAAUACCACCCUUUAAUGUUUGAUGUUCUAACGUUGGCCCCUAAUCGGGGUUGCGGACAGUGUCUGGUGGGUAGUUUGACUGGGGCGGUCUCCUCCUAAAGAGUAACGGAGGAGCACGAAGGUUGGCUAAUCCUGGUCGGACAUCAGGAGGUUAGUGCAAUGGCAUAAGCCAGCUUGACUGCGAGCGUGACGGCGCGAGCAGGUGCGAAAGCAGGUCAUAGUGAUCCGGUGGUUCUGAAUGGAAGGGCCAUCGCUCAACGGAUAAAAGGUACUCCGGGGAUAACAGGCUGAUACCGCCCAAGAGUUCAUAUCGACGGCGGUGUUUGGCACCUCGAUGUCGGCUCAUCACAUCCUGGGGCUGAAGUAGGUCCCAAGGGUAUGGCUGUUCGCCAUUUAAAGUGGUACGCGAGCUGGGUUUAGAACGUCGUGAGACAGUUCGGUCCCUAUCUGCCGUGGGCGCUGGAGAACUGAGGGGGGCUGCUCCUAGUACGAGAGGACCGGAGUGGACGCAUCACUGGUGUUCGGGUUGUCAUGCCAAUGGCACUGCCCGGUAGCUAAAUGCGGAAGAGAUAAGUGCUGAAAGCAUCUAAGCACGAAACUUGCCCCGAGAUGAGUUCUCCCUGACUCCUUGAGAGUCCUGAAGGAACGUUGAAGACGACGACGUUGAUAGGCCGGGUGUGUAAGCGCAGCGAUGCGUUGAGCUAACCGGUACUAAUGAACCGUGAGGCUUAACCUUACAAC
rnacentral:rRNA from 1 species